rfam:Oryza nivara chromosome 9, whole genome shotgun sequence.
AAUAAGCACAACCAUAAGUUUUCUUGUCCAACUUUAAUCGUUCGUCUUAUUUAUUUUUUUAUGAUUAAUAUUUUAAUUGUUAUUAGAUUAUAAAACAUGGAUAGUAUUUUAAAUAAGAUGAACGAUUAAAGUUGGAUACGGAAACUUAUGGCUGCACUUAUU